rnacentral:rRNA from 1 species
UACGUAGGGUGCAAGCGUUAUUCGGAAUUACUGGGCGUAAAGCGUGCGUAGGCGGCUUUGCAAGUCAGAUGUGAAAUCCCCGGGCUUAACCUGGGAACUGCAUUUGAGACUGCAUGGCUGGAGUGCGGCAGAGGGGGAUGGAAUUCCGCGUGUAGCAGUGAAAUGCGUAGAUAUGCGGAGGAACACCGAUGGCGAAGGCAAUCCCCUGGGCCUGCACUGACGCUCAUGCACGAAAGCGUGGGGAGCAAACAGG